rnacentral:tRNA from 1 species
CCCGGAUAGUUAACUAUAAACACUUAGGUCGUGACCCUAAAAACAGAGAGCGUCUCUUCCGAGCU